AUUGAACGCUGGCGGCAGGCCUAACACAUGCAAGUCGAACGAGUGGCAGACGGGUGAGUAAUGUCUGGGAAACUGCCUGAUGGAGGGGGAUAACUACUGGAAACGGUAGCUAAUACCGCAUACCAUCGGAUGUGCCCAGAUUGGAUUAGCUAGUAGGUGGGGUAACGGCUAACCUAGGCAACGAUCCCUAGCUGAUCUGAGAGGUUGACCGGCCACACUGGAACUGAGACACGGUCCAGACUCCUACGGGAGGCAGCAGUGGGGAAUCUUGCACAAUGGGCGCAAGCCUGACGGAGCAAUGCCGCGUGAGUGAAGAAGGUCUUCGGGUCGUAAAGCACUGUCAUUGGGGAGGCGUUACCCGAUCAGGAAGCCCCGGCUAACUCCGUGCCAGCAGCCGCGGUAAUAC
rnacentral:rRNA from 1 species